UACGGAGGAUCCGAGCGUUAUCCGGAUUUAUUGGGUUUAAAGGGAGCGUAGGCGGGUUGUUAAGUCAGUUGUGAAAGUUUGCGGCUCAACCGUAAAUUGCAGUUGAUACCGGCAUCCUUGAGUACAGUAGAGGUAGGCGGAAUUCGUGGUGUAGCGGUGAAAUGCUUAGAUAUCACGAAGAACUCCGAUUGCGAAGGCAGCCUGCUGGACUGUAACUGACGCUGAUGCUCGAAAGUGUGGGUAUCAAACAGG
rnacentral:rRNA from 1 species